rnacentral:tRNA from 1 species
GGCCUUGUGGUCUAAUGGAUAAGGCGUCGGACUUCGGAUCCGAAGAUUUCAGGUUCGAGUCCUGCCAGGGUCG